GAAAUUGACUGUUUUCUGUUACCUUUACGUACCUUAUUUUUUCCAUCCUAAUUCAUUUAAGAAAUCUCGAAAAUAUGUUUGGGCAUGAAACACGUUUAGAAAAUAUUCAAUGAUAUUUUUCUAUUUUUAUAACGAAUAUGGUUUAGAUGUGUGUGCCAUCAUACCAAAGACUGGAAUGCAAUUGAUAGCGGCUAGCAACUAUAGAACUUCUACACAGAAUCGCUAUUGUAUCACAAAUAAUGAUGAUUUAAAAAAAUAUAUUUUUUAGUAAACGUGAAUACAAACGCUCAAUGGCGUCAAUGUGUGGAAGGUUUUAUAUAUCGAAUUAGUAUUUAGAUCUUGUAUCUUUAGAUGUACGUUACCUAAAUCUUAAGAUAAAAAUCUCAUGUUCUAUAGUUGUACUUAAUAAUGUACAGUUAUAAUUAUUUGUUCACCGUAAUAAGAUAUAUUUUAAGAUUUAGGGAGUGUACUUGUGAGAUUUGGCGCAACCAUGUCAUGUAAUUUUAAAUUGUAAUUAAUAAUCGUUAUUGUUUUUGGCGCUAUAUUCCAUAUUGGUGAAGUUUCUUUUAUUUAAAUUUAUAUUUUAUUAAGUAUUAAAAUAAUUUGUAUUAAACAAUUAUAUUCAGCUUAUUUUAUGCUUGUUAUUUCUGAUGUUUAUUUGUAUUCAUAAUAAUGGACACGGAAGCUUUUAUCGGCUUUUAAAUAUGCACCAUUGAAUCGAAAAUCUUAUUUACAGAGCACAUCAUAUCAAAAGCUCCACGUUCAAACAAGCUUAUGGGCUUUUUGUAUUGAUAGUAUUCGACUGAGCGUCGCACACAGAGCUUAUUUAAGCUUAGCAUGUCAAAGGCAUAUCGCACACGAUAUAUUUUAAUACUGUAACAACUCAAAAACAUAGUUUCCAGAAAAAUGUAUUUGAAUAUUUGUCAGUUCACAGUCUACUAGGGAAACUAGAGGCAUAAGCAAAUAGUAAAUAUAUAGCUAAUGUAUAAAUAUAUACUGUACCAAUAACUGUUACAAUUUUAGUAGUUGGUAGAGAAUAUGUUGCUUGUCAUUUUGUUUGUUACAGUAUUGGAUAUCGUGUGCAAUAUACUUAUCGAAAACUGUACCUAUCUGAAUUAAAGCACAUAAUAACGGGUUCUUACCGCGUUUAAAUGGGGAUAUGAGAAGGUAAGAACCCGUUAUUAUGUGCUUUAAUUAUGAUAAUAACGGCGUAAACUUAAAACAAUGUACCUAUCUGGCAAAUAAGUAUAAUUGUAAGAAUAAUAAACUACUUAGAUGAGCAUCAAAUUAGUUUUUAUAUGUUCAAUAAGUCAGAAUUCAAUUUUCAUUGUUUGCAUUUAAGUUUCUUUUAUACACUUGUCAAUAAAUUUAUUUAAUACCUAUAGA